AGAAAAAAAUGCGUGGUUUCCUGGGAAUACCCUCAAUAAAUGGUGUCUCUUUUGUUAAACUUGUGGAACUGUGCCUGGCCCCAGGAUGUUUGGUGGAAACGCUGUGUGGCACGUGCAUUUGGCUGGCGGAAGGUGCUGCCUAUAAAAACCACUGGAGUGCGAUCACAGCCAUUGCUGUCCUCAUUGCGGCUUGCUACGCACAGCAAAUGUACCGUUUCAGAAGAAAAUUCUUACUUUUUUUUUCCUUUGUACAAGCCAYGGUUGCAGUGACGAUAAAGACUUCAGCUCUGAUACAUGAAGUUUGGGGUGGAGGGAUUGUGUUCUAAGCCCCCUGAAGCAAACUGCAGGCCCGUUUGCAGUGUGGGCUUUAACUYGAUACCAGCUUAGAGAUCUGCUGGUUUGCUGUUAGAGGAAGGGAGGCUAUGGCUUUUCCAGGAUAGCACACGUGUACUUUCAUUGCCUGUGUAUUAAGCAAAWUGUCAAGAGCUGAGAGAUGCUUGUAACCUAUGUGCUGAAAUUCCUAGAUAUGUCUUCAGUGACUAUUAAUAAUUUCCCCUAUAUGGAAAACUAUCAAGUAGUGCCUGUUUUUUUUUCCCCCCUCUCUUUUGUCAGGUGCAUAUUUUCAGUGUGCUCAGCUGAGAUAUUAUGGCUCCUUGACAGCAAAAGUGGUUCGCUUUGGAGCAAGGCCCUGCAGUAACUCUGGUUGCACCUACUCGCACUGCUGGCUGCAGGGAGGGACUGGGAUUUGGUCCUGCUCCUCUGCUCUCCUUGCCGGUGAGGUCUCUUCCAGGGCCAUUUCUAUCCCCUCUGAAUCCAUUCUAAAACCUACAGCCAGGAUCGUUCUGCCGUGGCAAUACCUAGAGUGUUUUAAYGGAGAUGAGCAGGGUGCUGGAGAAAUGGUGCAGGCUGCGUGGGCUCCCGAAGCCCGAGAAGAACAUGGGAAAUGAGCUAGAGGAAAUACAGGCUUAUAGAGCUGUAGAAGGCAUUGAAGGACUAUCAGCACUUCGUUCUGUUCCCUUGGUUUUAAACUGGAUUGGGUAGUACUUAUACAGAUGCUAAAAUGAAGGUUUCACCUAUAACCCCAGCUGGGCUAGCAAGCUUAGGUUUAAAGCCAGCUCUAGGUCUGAGAUCUUAUUCUGGAGGCUGUUAGUAUUAUUUGUGCUAAUAAACAGCUAAGAAUAAGCUUGCA
rnacentral:lncRNA from 1 species